rnacentral:misc_RNA from 1 species
GAUGAAGAACGUAGCGAAAUGCGAUAAGUAAUGUGAAUUGCAGAAUUCAGUGAAUCAUCGAAUCUUUGAACGCACAUUGCGCCCCUUGGUAUUCCGGGGGGCAUGCCUGUUCGAGCGUCAUUUCAACCCUCAAGCUCAGCUUGGCAUUGAGUCCAUGUCAGUAAUGGCAGGCUCUAAAAUCAGUGGCGGCGCCGCUGGGUCCUGAACGUAGUAAUAUCUCUCGUUACAGGUUCUCGGUGUGCUUCUGCCAAAACCCAAAUUUUCUAUGGUUGACCUCGGAUCAGGUAGGGAUACCCUCUGAACUUAAGCAUAUCAAUAAGCGGAGGA